rnacentral:siRNA from 1 species
GUCGAUGAUGGGUUGAUGAAUGAC